UACGUAGGGUGCAAGCGUUGUUCGGAUUUACUGGGCGUAAAGCGCACGUAGGCGGAUUGUUAAGUGAGGGUGAAAUCCCAGGCUCAACCCUGGAACUGCCUUCAUACUGGCAAUCUCGAGUCCGGAAGAGGUGAGUGGAACUCCUAGUGUAGAGGUGGAAUUCGUAGAUAUUACGGAAGAACACCAGUGGCGAAGGCGGCAU
rnacentral:rRNA from 1 species